GACGAACGCUGGCGGCGUGCUUAACACAUGCAAGUCGAACGGAAAGGCCCUGCUUUUGUGGGGUGCUCGAGUGGCGAACGGGUGAGUAACACGUGAGUAACCUGCCCUUGACUUUGGGAUAACUUCAGGAAACUGGGGCUAAUACCGGAUAGGAGCUCCUGCUGCAUGGUGGGGGUUGGAAAGUUUCGGCGGUUGGGGAUGGACUCGCGGCUUAUCAGCUUGUUGGUGGGGUAGUGGCUUACCAAGGCUUUGACGGGUAGCCGGCCUGAGAGGGUGAACGGCCACAUUGGGACUGAGAUACGGCCCAGACUCCUACGGGAGGUAGCAGUGGGGAAUAUUGCACAAUGGGCGGAAGCCUGAUGCAGCAACGCCGCGUGCGGGAUGACGGCCUUCGGGUUGUAAACCGCUUUCGCCUGUGACGAAGCGUGAGUGACGGUAAUGGGUAAAGAAGCACCGGCUAACUACGUG
rnacentral:rRNA from 1 species